rnacentral:tRNA from 1 species
GUCUCCAUAGCUCAGCUGGUUAGAGCGCGGGACUGUUAAUCUCGAGGCCGUGGGUUCAAGCCCCACUGGGGACU